CCUACGGGAGGCACCAGUGGGGAAUAUUGCACAAUGGGCGCAAGCCUGAUGCAGCCAUGCCGCGUAUAUGAAGAAGGGCUUCGGGUCGUAAAGUACUUUCAGCGGGGAGGAAGGUGUUGAGGUUAAUAACCUCAGCAAUUGACGUUACCCGCAGAAGACGCACCGGCUAACUCCGUGCCAGCAGCCGGGGUAAUACGGAGGGUGCAAGCGUUAAUCGGAAUUACUGGGCGUAAAGCGCACGCAGGCGGUCUGUCCAGUCGGAUGUGAAAUCCCCGGGCUCAACCUGGGAACUGCAUUCGAAACUGGCAGGCUAGAGUCUUGUAGAGGGGGGUAGAAUUCCAGGUGUAGCGGUGAAAUGCGUAGAGAUCUGGAGGAAUACCGGUGGCGAAGGCGGCCCCCUGGACAAAGACUGACGCUCAGGUGCUAAAGCGUGGGGAGCAAACAGGAUUAGAUACCCCAGUAGUC
rnacentral:rRNA from 1 species